UACGUAGGGUGCAAGCGUUGUCCGGAAUUAUUGGGCGUAAAGAGCUCGUAGGCGGUUUGUCGCGUCUGCCGUGAAAGUCCGGGGCUCAACUCCGGAUCUGCGGUGGGUACGGGCAGACUAGAGUGCAGUAGGGGAGACUGGAAUUCCUGGUGUAGCGGUGAAAUGCGCAGAUAUCAGGAGGAACACCGGUGGCGAAGGCGGGACUCUGGGCCGAUACUGACGCUGAGGAGCGAAAGCGUGGGGAGCGAACAGG
rnacentral:rRNA from 1 species